rnacentral:rRNA from 1 species
CAGCAGCCGCGGGAAUACAGAGGGUGCGAGCGUUAAUCGGAUUUACUGGGCGUAAAGCGUGCGUAGGCGGCUUUUUAAGUCGGAUGUGAAAUCCCUGAGCUUAACUUAGGAAUUGCAUUCGAUACUGGGAAGCUAGAGUAUGGGAGAGGAUGGUAGAAUUCCAGGUGUAGCGGUGAAAUGCGUAGAGAUCUGGAGGAAUACCGAUGGCGAAGGCAGCCAUCUGGCCUAACACUGACGCUGAGGUACGAAAGCAUGGGGAGCAAACAGGAUUAGAUACCCGGGUAGUCCCUGUCUCUUAUAU